rnacentral:rRNA from 1 species
CUGACGAGUGGCGGACGGGUGAGUAAUGUCUGGGAAACUGCCCGGUGGAGGGGGAUAACUACUGGAAACGGUAGCUAAUACCGUAUAACGUCGCAAGACCAAAGAGGGGGACCUUCGGGCCUCUUGCCACCGGAUGUGCCCAGAUGGGAUUAGCUUGUUGGUGAGGUAACGGCUCACCAAGGCGACGAUCCCUAGCUGGUCUGAGAGGAUGACCAGCCACACUGGAACUGAGACACGGUCCAGACUCCUACGGGAGGCAGCAG